AACCUUCUGAGUCCUGAACAAAAACGGUGGUUUCCGUACACCAGAAUUAAGACGGCUGAAAUGUCAAAAUCCCCAAAGGCUGUUCCGAGCGGAGUAUUUUGAUAAAUAUUCCUUUUCCACGGUCAAUAUACAGCAUUUCAAUCUCAGUGAUAGCCAGCUAUGACGCUCGAAUUUUAUGACGUUGGAACAUUAAUUUGGACAGCUAGCUCCAUAUCACAUUACGGAUGCUUGAAAAUAUGGCCAAGUCUGAACAGGUAAACAAAGAUGUCAAAAAGUGUCGAUUUUACAAAAAGCAGAACAUGUUAAAAUUAAUAAUGCGAAAAUUAUCGCAAAAGGUGUUUGUAUGUUACAAACGCGAUAUGUUUUCUUUU